CUGAAAUCAGGUGGGAUUACCCGCUGAACUUAAGCAUAUCAAUAAGCGGAGGAAAAGAAACUAACAAGGAUUCCCCUAGUAACGGCGAGUGAAGAGGGAAGAGCUCAAAGUUGGAACCGAGCUGGCUUAGCCAGUUUCGGGUUGUAAGCUAGAGAAGCGUUUUCCAGGCGAGCUGGGUAUGUAAGUCCCUUGGAACAGGGCAUCAUAGAGGGUGAGAAU
rnacentral:rRNA from 1 species